CAACUCAUUGAUGUAUUGUAGGGACAUUUAAUAAUUAAUAUUAUAAUUUCUGAAAGAAUUUCUUACUGGAUAAGUACUAAAAACUAUUUAAUUGAUGAGAAUACAAACUCAAUAAAUUAUACAAAGUUUUAAAAACCAUUUGUUACGUGUAAAUUGAGGAAAUAUGGCUACAAUUGUCAAGUUUAUUAUCUUUCUUUCCAUAUUUUUUGUUGCAAAUUUCAAUACAAAUAUUAGAUGUUCAAAGCAUAUACCAUGUCCAUCAAAUGCAUGUCCACUUAAUUAUUUUACAAGGUGUUAUAACAAUCGUUGCAAUUGUAUUAAAGUGUGGCAAGAAGAUAUCUAAGCCCAUAUGAUAAAUUAAUAUCUUCACAAGGGGAUUGAAAUGUUUCUUUUCGGCAUACUCUUAGAGAGAAUAAUGAAUGUGUCAAUUGACUUGCGAAGACUGGAGCCUCUUAUAAUGAUACUUCGAACAUUUAGAAUAGUUGUCCUCCUCAACUCAAUCUCAUAUUGAUGACUGAUGUUGUGGGUAUUGCUCGUCCAAGAACUUAGUUUCUUUUCUCUUUUUGUUCUUGUGUUAUUUGUUUUAUUUUCCAUCUCAUAAAAAAAUAAUGUAUUUGGUGUCAUACACAAGAGAGUACAUAAAUGCCAUUCUAAAAUAUUACAUGAGUAUGAGUUAUAAUUUUGUUAUUUUGUUGGCACCCGAUAUUUUUUUUUUUUUUUUUUUAAUUUAAAGAACAUGUGGUUAUGUUAUGAUCACUUUGUAAUCUAAGAUGAUGGUAAUGAAAUAAGGUGCAGCAAAGAAUAUUAUUUAA